rnacentral:rRNA from 1 species
GUAGGUGGCAAGCGUUGUCCGGAAUUAUUGGGCGUAAAGCGCGCGCAGGCGGUUCGUUUAAGUCUGAUGUGAAAGCCCACGGGCUCAACCGUGGAGGGUCAUUGGAAACUGGAGAACUUGAGUACAGAAGAGGAAAGCGGAAUUCCACGUGUAGCGGUGAAAUGCGUAGAGACGUGGAGGAACACCAGUGGCGAAGGCGGCUUUCUGGUCUGUAACUGACGCUGAGGCGCGAAAGCGUGGGGAGCAAACAGGAUUAGAUACCCUGGUAGUCCACGCCGUAAACGAUGAGUGCUAAGUGUUAGGGGGUUUCCGCCCCUUAGUGCUGCAGCUAACGCAUUAAGCACUCCGCCUGGGGAGUACGGCCGCAAAGGCUG